rnacentral:lncRNA from 1 species
GCUUGUAAUGGCAUUUGAGUGGUGCUUAUGAAGUUUCCUAAUAAGACACAUUAAUACCUUAUACCAAGGUUAAAUAUAUAUAAUAUUAAAUAUUGACAAUGUUAAAACUUCAAUAUCGUACAACAGAGGCAGAAAACAAGGAUUAGCUUUAAACAAUGACAUACACAGUCAAACAUGAAUCUGAUUGUACAAGAGAUGAAAGACGGACUACAAAAGCAACAAAACACAGAUUUAUUUCUGUUUUUAGAGAGGAUACAGAGUGACUGAAACAAAACUGCCACAAAAGGAUAGCUAAUCUUCAAAAACGCAUGGUUUAGGUUGAGUAGACUUUGGGUGUGGAUGGUAGAAAGCUUAAAAUUUGGGGGUUUUAGGGGAUGUUAAAGAACCUUUGUGGAUGUGUGUUGAGGGCUCAAGUCUUUGAACGAUACUUGCUAUUGUUCGGCUGGAUCAGGUGUGUGGAAUUGGGAGCUAGAAAGAUCUAAAUCCGCAAUUGGAAAACAAACAGAGCGAUAAAUCUUUAGGAACAAAGCUGAGGCAUCCCCUAUGAUGAUUGACAGACUUAUGGUGAUUGACUUUAAUCUCUGAUUUAAAAUGUUUCUUCUUUGUUCUUGGAAAAAUCCAGUAAUUUUGGGAACAAACCCCUUUUAAGGCGUUUUACUGUUCAAAUUUCUAGGCUUUCUGUGACUUUACUAAAACUGAAAUCCCGCCGCUGGGAUUUGCUGUGGGUCAAUGUUUACAGUUUUACUCAGCAGAGCAAACAUGGGACUCCUGAUAAGAUUCAUAACAAAUAAAAGAGAAUGAACUAUGAUGCCGUCACACCCUGGGGCUGAUACUGUCCCUCCUUCUCCCUUUAUAGUUUCACUGGAGCCUGUAUUGUUCCGGCAUGUUCUAAAGGCCUGAAAUUGAUCCCAAUGACUUUGAAGGAAAAAAUUAAAGAAGCAGAAAUGAACACAAUUGUGAACUUGCAUCAAAAACAAAGUGUUUGUACUUCCGACUCAUCCGGUACUCCAGAAAAAAACAACAUGAUUGGGGGAAAAAUAGAAGACCAGCUUUUAUACUUUUUGGUAUUUUACUUAUUGCGAUGUUUAUCUUUACUCACAAAGAUCUCUUGUUCUCUUUCUUUUUUCUUUUUAACAGAAAAAGACUUGUAUUUUGACACCAUCUUUUCUGCAUUUGAGGAAGGUGAAGAAGAAAAAAAUUCAGGCUCUGCCGUGCUGACUGUGGUUCUGAUUUUGGGCCUGAUCGCUGUGUUGGCUGGCCUCUCGUACUGUUACAUGAAAAGGCGCAGAAGCCAAUCUAGAAGUCCAAUGUCCACAGACCCCGCCGCAGAGGCACUAUCCUCUAAACCGAGCUGAAACGCCGCCAUCACUCAAGAGGGAAGUUUUUACCUCAGGGGCUGCUGUUAACAUGACAAUCUGCCUGAUCGUGUUCUUCUGUUUUUGUUUGUAUGUUUGCGAGAGAGAAACUGGACUUUUUGAGCAUUUUGGUUUGUUUGUUUGUUGUCAGUGUUUUUUGUGUGUGUGUGGUUUUUUUUUAACUGCAGUAAAACUUUAAACUGAACAAAGAUCAGGUUUGAGUCCAAAACCAAACUGCUGUGUUAGAAGCAGCUUUAUGCAUGGGUAAGGCUGGAUGAUUAUGUUUUGUGUUUGCUACACAACACUCACGUCUGCUAUGUUUAAACAGCAGGUCUGUUCUGUUUAAAUUAACUUUGUUUUCUAUGUCACUUUGAAUUGGAUCUUGGUUUUAAUUCAGCUCAAGGAAGAUUAGUCUUUUUAAUAAAUGUAUGUCAAUAAAUUCUGUUUUUAGACUUUAAAAAAAUUCUUAAUAAAGUGCCAUUUGUUUUCAAUGGAGGAAACCUUUUUUAUUACCAAAACCUUGUUGGUCUGGAAUCAUUCUUUCAACAACCUCAUGGUUUGUUUGGCCAACUGGAAACAAUUUGAGACUUUUCUCUUAUCAAGGUAAAUGUUGAUUUAAAAAAAAAAUCAAUAUGCUUGUAGAAUUUUUUUUCGUGAUGGAAGUCAUACUUUAAGAAAAUUAAGAUUUUAAUUUAAUUUGAGACCAUUUCUUUAUUUAAAUCAUUGUGAUUGAGGAGCCAAAAAAAAAAUCUUGUUUGAAAAAGUUUGUGGCCUCACAUGCGUUAUACAAUCAGCUUUCUGUUCCACUGGGAAAGUGUAAACAAAGGGGUGAUGGGAAAUUGGUAGAGGCUUACUUGCGUGUCAAGAGUCCUGCACAUAGCUCGGAGGCAAUUCUCUGAUUCCUGCAGCUCUACAGAAACGAUAUCCUAGAAGACAAAAGUUAUACAACUACAAUUCUAUGAAUCCCGGAUGACCGCCAGAGCUCCCAUGACUUUAUAGCCUCAUGUGGGGGCACCAGGAGAUCACAAUGUGACUUUGUUAUUAAAGGGUAACCAAACAGGGAAGUUGGAGGAUGACUCGACUCACAGCCGAGAUGUGAAAAUCCAGUCAGGGGGUGGGGCCUUUGAACAGGACUGCUAUCAUUACUGGAGCUGCAGAUCAUGACGUGGGACUUCUGAAGCUUACAUGGUUUGACCAAUCAUGAAGUUCAACUCUAAUACUUCAAUUUAACCUGCACACAGGUGGUUUUUUACUAUAUUUUCAAGAAUUAAACAAGCUUAUUUUAAUUUGUCAAAAAUUUGGCAAGGACCAACCAACAGACA